rnacentral:sRNA from 1 species
GAGAGGCGGCGGCGGGGCGCUGGGGCGGAGACUGCGACCCGGAGCCGCCCGGACUGACGGAGCCCACUGCGGUGCGGGCGUUGGCGCGGGCGCGGAGGACCCGGGCAGGCAUCGCAAGCGACCCCGAGCGGAGCCCCGGAGCCAUGGCCCUGAGCGAGCUGGCGCUGGUCCGCUGGCUGCAGGAGAGCCGCCGCUCGCGGAAGCUCAUCCUGUUCAUCGUGUUCCUGGCGCUGCUGCUGGACAACAUGCUGCUCACUGUCGUGGUCCCCAUCAUCCCAAGUUAUCUGUACAGCAUUAAGCAUGAGAAGAAUGCUACGGAAAUCCAGACGGCCAGGCCAGUGCACACAGCCUCCAUCUCAGACAGCUUCCAGAGCAUCUUCUCCUAUUAUGAUAACUCGACCAUGGUCACUGGGAACGCUACCAGAGACCUGACACUUCAUCAGACCGCUACACAGCACAUGGUGACCAACGCGUCCGCUGUUCCUUCCGACUGUCCCAGUGAAGACAAAGACCUCCUGAAUGAAAACGUGCAAGUUGGUCUGUUGUUUGCCUCGAAAGCCACCGUCCAGCUCAUCACCAACCCUUUCAUAGGACUGCUGACCAACAGAAUUGGCUAUCCAAUUCCCAUAUUUGCGGGAUUCUGCAUCAUGUUUGUCUCAACAAUUAUGUUUGCCUUCUCCAGCAGCUAUGCCUUCCUGCUGAUUGCCAGGUCGCUGCAGGGCAUCGGCUCGUCCUGCUCCUCUGUGGCUGGUAGGUGUGGAAUGCCUGAGUGAGUUCGUGAGGGGCCCCUUGCAGAGUGAGCUGGACUCAUUCAGGGAAUUCAGGUAUUGGUGGUGGUUGGGGUGCUGGGGAUUCUUGGAGAAGGCACCCACUUUCCUCUUGGGUUCUGCUUGGUCUUACAUUUUAGUGAAUCUGACAGGUUUGGGAAGAUCACAAGGCUGGCUGGAGAGGGAAGGCGAGUCAUGCAUUAUUCUUUUGCUGUUCCCCGGAGCUGGCCUGUUGACCAUUUCUUUCCCUGUGUAGGGAUGGGCAUGCUUGCCAGCGUCUACACAGAUGAUGAAGAGAGAGGCAACGUCAUGGGAAUCGCCUUGGGAGGCCUGGCCAUGGGGGUCUUAGUGGGCCCCCCCUUCGGGAGUGUGCUGUAUGAGUUUGUGGGGAAGACGGCUCCAUUCCUGGUGCUGGCCGCCCUGGUGCUCUUGGAUGGAGCUAUUCAGCUCUUUGUGCUCCAGCCGUCCCGGGUGCAGCCAGAGGUAAGUGGCUGGGAAUGAGGGCCCUGGGGGAGGGGGCAUGGUGAUGCUUCUGACCCGUGUUUUUUUUCUUGACAGAGUCAAAAGGGGACACCCCUAACCACACUGCUAAAGGACCCAUACAUCCUCAUUGCUGCAGGCUCCAUCUGCUUUGCAAACAUGGGCAUUGCCAUGCUGGAGCCGGCCCUGCCCAUCUGGAUGAUGGAGACCAUGUGUUCCAGAAAGUGGCAGCUGGGCGUUGCUUUCUUGCCAGCUAGUAUCUCUUAUCUCAUUGGAACCAAUAUUUUUGGGAUACUUGCACACAAAAUGGGGAGGUGGCUUUGUGCUCUUCUGGGAAUGAUAAUUGUUGGAGUCAGCAUUUUAUGUAUUCCAUUUGCAAAAAACAUUUAUGGACUCAUAGCUCCGAACUUUGGAGUUGGUUUUGCAAUUGGAAUGGUGGAUUCAUCAAUGAUGCCCAUCAUGGGCUACCUCGUAGACCUGCGGCACGUGUCCGUCUAUGGGAGUGUGUACGCCAUUGCAGAUGUGGCAUUUUGUAUGGGGUAUGCUAUAGGUCCUUCUGCUGGUGGUGCUAUUGCAAAGGCAAUUGGAUUUCCAUGGCUCAUGACAAUUAUUGGGAUAAUUGAUAUUCUUUUUGCCCCUCUCUGCUUUUUUCUUCGAAGUCCACCUGCCAAAGAAGAAAAAAUGGCUAUUCUCAUGGAUCACAACUGCCCUAUUAAAACAAAAAUGUACACUCAGAAUAAUAUCCAGUCAUAUCCGAUAGGUGAUGAUGAAGAAUCUGAAAGUGACUGAGAUGAGACCCUCAAAAAUCAUCAAAGUGUUUAAUUGUAUAAAACAGUGUUUCCAGUGACACGACUCAUCCAGAACUGUCUUAGUCAUACCAUCCAUCCCUGGUGAAAGAGUAAAACCAAAGGUUAUUAUUUCUUUUCCAUGGUUAUGGUCGAUUGCCAACAGCCUUAUAAAGAAAAAGAAGCUUUUCUAGGGGUUUGUAUAAAUAGUGUUGAAACUUUAUUUUAUGUAUUUAAUUUUAUUAAAUAUCAUACAAUAUAUUUUGAUGAAAUAGGUAUUGUGUAAAUCUAUAAAUAUUUGAAUCCAAACCAAAUAUAAUUUUUUAACUUACAUUAACAAACAUUUGGGCAAAAAUCAUAUUGGUAAUGAGUGUUUAAAAUUAAAGCACACAUUAUCUCUGAGACUCUUCCAACAAAGAGAAACUAGAAUGAAGUCUGAAAAACAGAAUCAAGUAAGACAGCAUGUUAUAUAGUGACACUGAAUGUUAUUUAACUUGUAGUUACUAUCAAUAUAUUUAUGCGUUAAAGAGCUAGUUCCCUCAAGUGUAGAGGACAAGAACUUGUGUCAGUCAUCUUUUGAAUCCAUAAAUCUUAGCUGGCGUUAGUUUUCUAUGUAAUCAACUACCUAGAGAGAGUUGUAAAUUAUAUGUUAACAUGUUAUUUGGUUGGCAGCAAACACUAAAGCCAGUAAGGGAAAAACAGUAAAUGUUCUGAAAGCAGAGAAAAGCAACCAAACAUAUUGUUAUGAACUAAAAGCUUUCCCUUUAAGAUGCAUACUUGUCUUACUGGGUGAAGAAAAUUGAGGAUACAUGUACCUUAUACUGUCAAGGUUGUUUAAACAUGAUAAGGUUAAUCGCCAUCUACUUCAAGUUUUAGAAAAGGAAACAAGAGGCUAAAAACAGCUGCUCUGACUUCAAUAUCUGAACAUAUCUUUGAUCUGUUUGCAGAUCAUCCAAGUGUUUUCUAGGAAUAUAUUUAUUUUAGGUUGUCUGAAACGACUAUUUUUUAGACUCCUGAAAGUUGUUCACAUCAAUGUGAAGACAAAUUUUAAAUGAAAAUGAGGAGUGAAAUUAUGUCUUGAAUCAUAUGUUAAUAAGUAAAAAUAAUAGUGAUCAGGCAGAAAAGAAAAAUGGAACAUCUAAAAAUGUAUGUGCUAACUAUAUCAUCCAGUGUGCAGUGUCGUGUAUUUUUCUAAGCAUGACAACAUUGAUGUGCCUUUUCAGUGUAACAGCAAAUACUGUUAGUGAACAUUGUCAAUUUAUGUCAUUUUGUUAAGAGAUAUGACUGGAGUGUGCAGUGUGGAAUGUCUCUAAUAAUACUUGUGAAUCCUGCAGUUCUAUAAACAAAAAUUACUUAGUUUUGUUAAGCUAAGAUUGUGUUUGUGUUAACUUCGACAUCAAGGAGCAAAGAACUUUAGAACAAAGACUCCUCUAUCUUGUGACUUUCUUAUUCUCUAGGAAAGUAACACUUCGUUUCAUGAAGCUUUUCUGUGGGGCUUCGAUUAUUUCAAGUCUGGUUUCUAAGUGCAGUGUGUUUGAAGCAAACAAACUUCCAACUCACUUAUUUGGCAUUGGGCAACUUGGCCAAGUCUGCUACUUUGGAAGAUGGCUCUGGAGGAAACUCUCAUAUGGCUAAAAAGGCAGGCUAGUUUCUUACUUCUACAGGGGUAGAGCCUUAAAAAAGAAUGUGCUACAAAUUGGUUCUCUUUGAGGGUUUCUGGUUCUCCCUGGCCCCAAUACCAUAUACUUUAUUGCAAUUUUAUUUUUGCCUUUAUGGCUCUGUGUCUUUCUGCAAGAAGGCCUGGCAAAGGUAUGCCUGCUGUUGGUCCCUCGGGAUAAGAUAAAAUAUAAAUAAAACCUUCAGAACUGUUUUGGGAGCAAAAGAUAGGUUGUACUUGGGGAAAAAAAUUAUGUUCUUUUAUGACUAAUAUUCUUGGUUAGCAAGACUGAAAAGAGGUGUUUUUCUAAAAUGUACGUACCAGAACAAAGAACAUACAGCUCUCUGAACAUUUAUUUUUUGAAUAGAGGUGGUUUUUAUGUUUGUACCUGGUAAUACAGAUACAAAAACUUUAAUGAGGUAGCAAUGAAUAUUCAACUGUUUGACUGCUAAGUGCAUCUGUUCAUAUUUUAGCAAGUUUACUUAAUAAAUCUUCCGAACCAUG